rnacentral:rRNA from 1 species
ACGGGAGGCAGCAGUGGGGAAUAUUGGGCAAUGGGGGAAACCCUGACCCAGCAACGCCGCGUGAAGGAAGAAGGCUUUCGGGUUGUAAACUUCUUUUACCAGGGACGAAGGACGUGACGGUACCUGGAGAAAAAGCAACGGCUAACUACGUGCCAGCAGCCGCGGUAAUACGUAGGUUGCAAGCGUUGUCCGGAUUUACUGGGUGUAAAGGGCGUGUAGGCGGAGGAGCAAGUCAGAUGUGAAAUCCCGGGGCUCAACCCCGGAACUGCAUUUGAAACUGUUUCCCUUGAGUAUCGGAGAGGCAAGCGGAAUUCCUAGUGUAGCGGUGAAAUGCGUAGAUAUUAGGAGGAACAUCAGUGGCGAAGGCGGCUUACUGGGCUUUAACUGACGCUGAGGCUCGAAAGCGUGGGGAGCAAACAGGAUUAGAUACCCUGGUA